UUCGGCCUACGGGCGCAGCAGUGAGGAAUAUUGGUCAAUGGACGCAAGCCUGAACCAGUCAAGUCGCGUGAGGGAAUAAGGCCCUACGGGUCGUAAACCUCUUUUGCCGGGGAGCAAGGGCGGGGACGUGCCCCGGCCCGGAGAGUACCCGGAGAAAAAGCAUCGGCUAACUCCGUGCCAGCAGCCGCGGUAAUACGGAGGAUGCGAGCGUUAUCCGGAUUUAUUGGGUUUAAAUGGUGCGUAGGCGGGCUUUUAAGUCAGCGGUAAAAAUCCGGGGCUCAACCCCGUCCGGCC
rnacentral:rRNA from 1 species